rnacentral:lncRNA from 13 species
GGAUGGAUUCUUCCAUGUGGGGCAUCUCUGGGUGGAUGGAUUCUUCCAUGUGGGGCAUCUCUGGGUGGAUGGAUUCUUCCAUGUGGGACAUCUCUUGGCUGAUGGAUUCUUCCAUCUGGGACAUCUCUUGGCUGAUGGAUUCUUCCAUCUGGGACAUCUCUUGGCUGAUGGAUUCUUCCAUGUGGGGCAUCUCUAGGCGGAUGAAGUCUUCCCAUUGGGACCAAUUUUUGUAUCCCUUGGCUUUCCCUUUGCACCGUUCUUGGUGUCUCUUGGCUUUGCCUUGGCACAGAUCUUGGUUGGUAAAGUCUUCCCACUGGGAUAUCUCUGGGCGGAUGGAUUCUUCCAGGUGGGACAUCUCUUGAUGGAUGGAUUCUUCCAUGUGGGGUAUCUCUGGGUGGAUGGAUUCUUCCAUGUGGGACAUCUCUGGGCGGAUGGAUUCUUCCAUGUGGGACAUCUCUGGGCGGAUGAAGGCUUCCCAUUGGGACAUACUUUUGUAUCCGUUGGCAUUCCCUUGGCACCGUUCUUGGUGUCUCUUGGCUUUUCCUUGGCACGGCUCUUGCUCGAUGAAGUUUUCCGUGUGGGACAUGUCCUGAUCCAUGAAAUCUUUGCUUUGGGACAUCUCAUGGUUGAUAAAUUCCUCCAUUUGGGACAUCUCCUGCUUGAUGAAGGCUUCCCAUUGGGACACACUUUUGUAUCCAUUGCCUUCCCCCUGGCACAGCUCUGGAUCUCUUUCAACUUCCCAUUGGCGCUGCUUCGGGGAUAUCUCGGCUUUCCCUUGGUCCGUGUGGUGUUCCCAAUGGGACAUCUCGUGGCUGAUGAAGUCUUCCCACUGGGACAGGUCUUUGUAUCCGCUGGAUUCCCCUUGGCACCGCUCUUGGGAGCCAUCAGCUUCCCCUUGGGCACCGCACUUGGGAGCCAUUGGAUUCCCCUUGGCACCGCACUUGGGAUCCAUCGGCUUCCCCUUGGCACCGCUCUUGGGAUCCACUGGCUUCCCCUUGGCACCGCUCUUGGCUGAUGAAUUCUUCCCAUCGGGACAGAUCCUCGUCUCCGUCGCCUUGCCCCUGGCACAGUUCGGGUCUCUCCUGGCUUUCCCCUGGGACACCUCUUGGUUGAUGAAUUCCUCCAUUUGGGACAUCUCUUGGCUGAUUAGGUCCAACCAUCGGGACAGAUCCUUGUAUCCACGGGUGUGCCCCCGGCUCAGCCCUUGGGAUCUCUUUCCAUGCCCUUGGGAUCUCUUUCCGUGCCCUUGGGGUACCUGUGGAUCUCGGCCGUGUCCCCCUUGGCACAGCCCUCGGGGACUUCCCGAGGCUUCCCACUCCUCCUGCUCCAUGGCCAACGUCCCCUGUCCCUCCCGGGAUCAGAGCAGCCUCUGGACCGGCUGGGAGCUGGGAUUCACCUUCUCCAGGGGCAUCUCCAGAGGGAUCCCGGGAGCUGCUGCUCCUGAGGGAGGGGCUCUACUGGGAAUGGCCCUGAACCCUUCGGGGUCGCGCCGGGAUCCGGGCACGGCGCAGCUCCCGCGUCACAAAGGGACGCCCCAAGCGCGGGGCCUUCUGGAACCAUCUGGAACCUUCUGGAGCUGCAGCCCCGGGGAGUGGCCAAUGGGUUUGACCCCACUGCCGACCCCGCUGCGGUUGUGGGGUGUUGAGGGUCCGCCUCUUCCCUGUGGGAUUCCUGCCGGGAAAGGCCACGGCGCCUUUAAAGCAUCUCCAAGCUGCAUCUGGCAGCCCCGGUGCUGGAACGCUGCCCCGCAGCCAUGGCGCUGCUCCAGGAAAUUCCUGACAUCCCGGCAAGUGCUGAGGCAGCCCGAAUCGGGGGCUGGGUGUGCUUUGGCCCCGGGAAACCGGGAACGGGGCCAGGAGCGGGGCCGGGAUUUCUGCAAACCUCGAAAGUGCCCGUCCCGUGGGGCUGAGUCACGGCCGCCCCUCCUGGGCCCUCUCCAGAGCCUCGACAGAAGGCAGGAGCUGCCUGAGCCCCGAACAAAAGCCUUCCCAGCAUCCAGCCCUUGGAAUCGGGCAGGGAAUGCUCCGUCCUCUGUGCCAGGCGGGCCCCGCGCCAGCCACGCUGUCCCCGCUGUGCCCUGCUGCCAGCCUGGGAUGGCAAAGGAGCACCCCCGGGUGAUGCAGAUCCAAAGGAUCCCGGGGUGCCACGGAGCCGGGGGACCCUGUCCCACUCCUUCCUCAGCCCAGCGGGGCUCUGGGACACCCCCAGAGGGAGCAGGGAUGGGGACAAGGGACAGGGAUGGGACCGGCGCCAGCUCCGCUCCGCGCGGGCAGGAAAUCCCAAUAAAAGAAGGAAAAAGUCGAGCCGGGAAAGUUCUUCUGGGGCGGAAAACGAGCGCGUGUGAGACCCCGCGCAGGGUGGGGGGAGAGGCAGGACCCAGACCCCUUCCCCGGCACCCAGACCCGCACCCCCGGCCCCCACCCGGGGCACUCCCGAGGGGUCGGGGCCGGGGGCCGCUCCUCGCCGCGGGGUUCGGCCCCGCUCCGCCCGCAGCGGACUCCGGGACCUCCCGGGUCCCCGGGCUCGGCCGGCGAUGCCGCCGCUGCGGCGGGAGGAGCCCCCCUAGACCCCCGGGCCCCUCCCCGACGUGGUGAUGGCACAGUGGGGACACCGCGGGGGGCUGGGGACAGCGGGGAUACACUGAGGGGACAGCGGGACACGGUGAUGGGACAGCGCUGGGGACACGCUGGGGACACGGGGCAGGGCCCGCAGGUGAGCAGGCGGGACCGAUGUGCCCCGUUCGAGGGGUCCGGUGACACGGGGAGCGGGACGGGGCCGCUGAACGG